UACGUAGGGCGCAAGCGUUGUCCGGAAUUAUUGGGCGUAAAGAGCUCGUAGGCGGUUUGUCGCGUCUGCUGUGAAAACUCAGGGCUUAACCCUGAGCCUGCAGUGGGUACGGGCAGACUAGAGUGUGGUAGGGGAGAUCGGAAUUCCUGGUGUAGCGGUGGAAUGCGCAGAUAUCAGGAGGAACACCGGUGGCGAAGGCGGAUCUCUGGGCCAUAACUGACGCUGAGGAGCGAAAGCAUGGGGAGCGAACAGG
rnacentral:rRNA from 1 species